UGGUGUGUUGCCUGAUAGGUAGGUCUCAUGUUCUGGCUGCAGGUCAUCUGGUGACUGAGGUGGUGUGUUGCCUGAUAGGUAGGUCUCAUGUUCUGGCUGCAGGUCAUCUGGUGACUGAGGUGGUGUGUUGCCUGAUAGGUAGAUCUCAUGUUCUGGCUGCAGGUCAUCUGGUGACUGAGGUGGUGUGUUGCCUGAUAGGUAGGUCUCAUGUUCUGGCUGCAGGUCAUCUGGUGACUGAGGUGGUGUGUUGCCUGAUAGGUAGGUCUCAUGUUCUGGCUGCAGGUCAUCUGGUGACUGAGGUGGUGUGUUGCCUGAUAGGUAGGUCUCAUGUUCUGGCUGCAGGUCAUCUGGUGACUGAGGUGGUGUGUUGCCUGAUAGGUAGGUCUCAUGUUCUGGCUGCAGGUCAUCUGGUGACUGAGGUGGUGUGUUGCCUGAUAGGUAGGUCUCAUGUUCUGGCUGCAGGUCAUCUGGUGACUGAGGUGGUGUGUUGCCUGAUAGGUAGGUCUCAUGUUCUGGCUGCAGGUCAUCUGGUGACUGAGGUGGUGUGUUGCCUGAUAGGUAGGUCUCAUGUUCUGGCUGCAGGUCAUCUGGUGACUGAGGUGGUGUGUUGCCUGAUAGGUAGGUCUCAUGUUCUGGCUGCAGGUCAUCUGGUGACUGAGGUGGUGUGUUGCCUGAUAGGUAGGUCUCAUGUUCUGGCUGCAGGUCAUCUGGUGACUGAGGUGGUGUGUUGCCUGAUAGGUAGGUCUCCAUUGCAACUGUUCUCUUUAGUUUGUCUUCUAUUCCGUUGGUUACAUUUCCAU